GUGGGGAAUCUUGGACAAUGGGGGCAACCCUGAUCCAGCCAUGCCGCGUGAGCGAUGAAGGCCUUAGGGUUGUAAAGCUCUUUCACCGGUGAAGAUAAUGACGGUAGCCGGAGAAGAAGCCCCGGCUAACUCCGUGCCAGCAGCCGCGGUAAUACGGAGGGGGCUAGCGUUGUUCGGAAUUACUGGGCGUAAAGCGCGCGUAGGCGGAUUGUUAAGUCGGGGGUGAAAUCCCGGGGCUCAACCCCGGAACUGCCUCCGAUACUGACAGUCUUGAGGUCGAGAGAGGUGAGUGGAAUUCCGAGUGUAGAGGUGAAAUUCGUAGAUAUUCGGAGGAACACCAGUGGCGAAGGCGGCUCACUGGCUCGAUUCUGACGCUGAGGUGCGAAAGCGUGGGGAGCAAACAGG
rnacentral:rRNA from 1 species